GACGAACGCUGGCGGCGUGCCUAAUACAUGCAAGUAGAACGCUGAAGGAGGAGCUUGCUUCUCUGGAUGAGUUGCGAACGGGUGAGUAACGCGUAGGUAACCUGCCUGGUAGCGGGGGAUAACUAUUGGAAACGAUAGCUAAUACCGCAUAAGAGUAGAUGUUGCAUGACAUUUGCUUAAAAGGUGCAAUUGCAUCACUACCAGAUGGACCUGCGUUGUAUUAGCUAGUUGGUGAGGUAACGGCUCACCAAGGCAACGAUACAUAGCCGACCUGAGAGGGUGAUCGGCCACACUGGGACUGAGACACGGCCCAGACUCCUACGGGAGGCAACAGUAGGGAAUCUUCGGCAAUGGACGGAAGUCUGACCGAGCAACGCCGCGUGAGUGAAGAAGGUUUUCGGAUCGUAAAGCUCUGUUGUAAGAGAAGAACGAGUGUGAGAGUGGAAAGUUCACACUGUGACGGUAUCUUACCAGAAAGGGACGGCUAACUACGUG
rnacentral:rRNA from 1 species